CCCGUCUGGCUAAGCGGAAAAGUGAUCGUGGUCAAGUGAAAACUAGAGUGAACAUCAGCAGGACAUUUGAUUCCUGGAGGGAACUUCGUUUGGUUUUGGGGAUCAAAACCGACCCUGAAUUGGUGUUUUUCUGAUUGGACAGCUUUGUUUGAGCCCAAAAAAACGCAUCAUCUGUGGAAGACUGUGCUGCCUGCUCUCGUUGGUUUGACAAAGCAUGUUGCCUUCACAGCUGGAGCUGACUGCCCCCUACUGCAAUGUGGUACAUCAAGCUUGAAUUGCUCCGAUGAUUGCAGAAUGACCCCUUUAAUGUACCUUAUACAUUAAGAUGGACAUCUGUAGGUGAGAUACUGACUUUAACUGUGGAAAAAAGCAAAAAAACAGGAGGAUUCAGAAGAAACAGCAGAGAAAAAGAUUACUGCGAAUGAGCUGUAUUUUGAGGGCUGGUCUAUAAACAAACCUUGUAA